rnacentral:rRNA from 1 species
CCUACGGGCGGCAGCAGUGGGGAAUAUUGGACAAUGGGCGAAAGCCUGAUCCAGCCAUGCCGCGUGUGUGAAGAAGGCCUUCGGGUUGUAAAGCACUUUCAGUGGGGAAGAAAGCCUUGGGGCUAAUACCCUCGAGGAAGGACAUCACCAACAGAAGAAGGACCGGCUAACUCCGUGCCAGCAGCCGCGGUAAUACGGAGGGUGCGAGCGUUAAUCGGAAUUACUGGGCGUAAAGCGCGCGUAGGCGGUCUGAUAAGCCGGUUGUGAAAGCCCCGGGCUCAACCUGGGAACGGCAUCCGGAACUGUCAGGCUAGAGUGCAGGAGAGGAAGGUAGAAUUCCCGGUGUAGCGGUGAAAUGCGUAGAGAUCGGGAGGAAUACCAGUGGCGAAGGCGGCCUUCUGGACUGACACUGACGCUGAGGUGCGAAAGCGUGGGUAGCAAACAGGAUUAGAUACCCGUGUAGUC